GACGAACGCUGGCGGCGCGCUUAAUACAUGCAAGUCGAACGAACGAAGAAAGAGCUUGCUCUUUCUAAGUUAGUGGCGGACGGGUGAGUAACACGUGAGCAACCUACCUUUUACAGGGGGAUAACGUUUGGAAACGAACGCUAAUACCGCAUAACAUCCAACUGUGGCAUCACAGAAGGAUCAAAGGAGCAAUCCGGUAGAAGAUGGGCUCGCGUCCGAUUAGAUAGUUGGUAGGGUAAAGGCCUACCAAGUCAGCGAUCGGUAGCCGGACUGAGAGGUUGAACGGCCACAUUGGGACUGAGACACGGCCCAGACUCCUACGGGAGGCAGCAGUAGGGAAUAUUGGUCAAUGGGGGAAACCCUGAACCAGCGACGCCGCGUGAGGGAAGAAGGUUUUCGGAUUGUAAACCUCUGUCUUAGGGGAAGAGUAGAAGACGGUACCCUAAGAGGAAGCCACGGCUAACUACGUGCCAGCAGCCGCCGUAAAAC
rnacentral:rRNA from 1 species